UUUUUUUUUUUUUUUUUUUUUUUUUUUUUUUUUUUUUUUUUUUCCU
rnacentral:ribozyme from 1 species